CUCCCACUCCCACAGCUUGUACCUGCAACAACACUUGUACACUUGUUUUUGUUGUUAUCCCACCUUUUUCCCAAUAUAUCGUGAUCCCCGUAUUGAUUUCUCUAUGAUGACUCUUGUUUUUACCUUCAUCCACAGAGGUCAGCGGCAACUGCACAAACUCCUCCAGACUCCAGGACUCGCUCAAGGGUGCUUCAAGAUGUUUCAAGGCCAGGUGCUUGGAUAGACACCCAACGGUUGGAGCGUCUACCUUCAAAUCCCAGAAAUCGGAGCAGGUUAGUGGUACAUUCACGUCUUUCUUCUCUGCUGUUAAUCAUACACUCCACCUCCUCCUCCUCCUCCUCCAAAAAAAAAAGAAACACUCACACCCUUUUUUUGUGUCUGUUUGGCACACAAUCCUCACUGCGAACAAACCUGAAAGGUGUAGUGCUAAAUUGCUACCAGACGUGAGAUAGAACAUCCUACGACAUUUGAAAUGUGUUUCUCAAUUCAAGAGGAUGAAUCAUAAGGUCUAAUUCAGUCCUAAUGGUGAAGUAUUUUUGCCACAGUCUCUCAGCUUGUGGCUCCCCCCUCCCUCUUUGUAUUUAUCUUCUUUUUCUUUUUCUUCAUCACUAUUUUUUCUCCUCUCCUUGGAUAUCGAACAAAGAAACACAACGUUACUCCUCUAAAAAUAAUCCCCCUGGUGAGUAAAGUAGGUUGGUCAAGGUUUUAAAGCAGACACUUUGAAUAUUCAGAAGCGAGCGGACAGGAAACAGACCAUCUGAAAACAUCCACAUCUCCUUUCUAUUGAGGCUUUUAUUUUGAGCAGGUGGGACAGGAAACAGGGAGAGAGAUCUCAUUUAUCUGCUCUUCUUUGGACAGGGAUGUUAACUUGAUGACUAAAAGUUGUCGUCAUGACCUAAAGUGUUUAUGCUGCUGACUAAGUUUGCAGAUUUUUAAAUUGAAAUCGUUUUCUGAUGGAGUUAAAAUCCCCCCCAGCAUCUGUAAAAGUCCUCCCUCCAGAUGCUUCAGUUUAAACACAGUAACAGGACGGGUGAAUCACUGACCAGUCGGCUCCUUAAACCUGUAAAUUCUGUAUUAAAGUCCCACUCCUAUCGUUUUAUUUUACUAGUUAAAGUGUUCUUAGCCGUCUUUAAAUUGUGAUUAUGAAGAUUUUAGCCAAAAUCACGUUGCCUGUGUCAUUUUCAAGGACUUUUCUUCAAUUCACCUCUGACCCCCAAUUUCCACCGUAUUCGGAUCGGCUCUGCUACGGAACGGCAUCAAGUUUUGCCCUCUGCCUAUUUCUACGAGAUGCGUUUGUGAGGCGAAUUUUGUGGUGGAUUUCGGACAGCAGAGAUCGUGAGAACUCACAAGAACCUGUGGAUUCAUGUGCAAUCGCGCAAAAACAAGUUGUCUCUAUAAAGACAGACACAUAAUCAUAUAUGCAGUAGAUUGUGUCCUUCCAGAGGAGGAAAUCUACAUCUAGACAUCUAGAAUCAGCAUCUCCUCAUCCAUGGUGUCAUCGGGGUGAAAUGAAGUCUGAAAAGCUUUCACUCGUUUAUCCCGCCCAUGUUUGCAUGGUGUGUAAUACGAUCCUCCUGAAACACGGAGUGUUUUAUUUUGAAAAGAAGACGGAUGUUUUAUUUUGAGUCUGUGCUCGACUUUCUUUCCAGCACGGGUUGAUAUGUGUUGAAUUUAUGCGGCAUGCUGCGGCAUCCGUCAAAAUAGAACUCUUGCGAUCGUCUGUGGAGUCCGCUGAACCGCAGCAGGCCGAAGAAGCCGGUGGAAUUUGACACAUGAACUUGAAUGGAAACAAUCAGUGGCAAUCGGCGCAUACGGCCUUUUCGCAGACGUUCCGGAUGCAGCGGAAAUUGUGGGUAAGUCAUGGGUGGAGACAGUGCUGCUCUGCACGCUCCUCUUCAUGUUAGCUUGUAGCCUAACAUUGCCAAUGUAGUAGAAGUAGCAGCUAACAUAGGAGCUAUUCAGCUCUCAGACACUAAUCUUUAGGGGCAUGAUGAAAGUUAAUAUAAUUAGCUUUAUUAUGAGCUUGCAAUCCGCUAACAUACACGCUUGUUACGCGAUCAUCCUCUGUAUUUACUCGAGUGUGGCCUGCAUAGUGGGGCUCUGGGGGCGGAGCUUGGAUUUGUGACAUAGGAAAUCUCACAGAGAUUUGAAUGCAGAAAUACUCAGAAAUGCAAUUUCACGCUUAGUUUUCUCAUGAUAUGUCCUGUAGGGUCAGAAAAAUAAACAUAUGAAGAUGUAGACGACAAGAAAACCAUGAUUUUCAGAGUGGGUGAAAGACCAGAGUGGGUCUUUAAGUCUCCUCCAGAGCAGCCAUACCUCGUCUUUUUCUCUUUAAAUUCAAACCAUCAAUGGAUUUGAUGAGCUUACUGUCAAUUUCCUUCUCUUUUCUCUUAAAUAACUCCUUUAAGUGUGUGCCUGUCAAGCUGCUCACUAAAUUUUAUAGGUUUGAAAUUCACAUUUGCCAUAAUCAGAUCAGUUUCUUAACUAAAGAUGAUGAUUCCCUCUGUUCUUACCCUUUAAAAUCCUCCUCGUUUAGAGAUGCACGACUUCGUUAAAUCAUGUAUUUAUUCGAAAAGAUCCCCCCUGGUUUGUGGAAAAGACGUGCAAAUUGCAGUUUGUAGUGUUUCUGGUGGAUGUAUUGCCGCUUUUGCUCCGUCAUGCACAUUAUCAAUUAGCAGUCACGAUAUUUUCCUGGGCAGCAAAUGAGUCAGAGGCCUGUCAAAAUAAUAGCAGUAACAGAGUUUUACAGAGGCCACUCCUCAGAACAUUUUUUCAAAUAAUUGCUUUAACAACACAGUGUAAUGGCUCUGCAGAGACACAGUCUUGAACCCAGACGCACGACUCAGAGACAGGCAGGUAGUUCAAACGUUCACAUUUGCUCGCAGUCAAUGACAAGGCAAAAGUUCAAAAACCAGUUAAGCUGAUAAACAAGCCAACUUUUCCAACGAGGGAAGAUGAAGAGGGAAGGGAAAGAGAGCAGAGAAGCUGAGGCAACAUUCACACAGACACCUUUCUCAGCUGAUUUAAGGUUUUAUAAACAUUAGAUCAACCUGUAAGUUACUGUCAGCCAACAGCUGACUCAGUCAAUCUAAAGGCAGAGAUGGUGUUAGGGAGAGCUGAGAGCUUACAGUGAUGGAGACACAGAGUACAACAGGGCAGGACUUAACUAGUCAUUAGUUAGACUUCUUAGCUCACCUCAGAUCAACUUAUAGAGAAAUUAAGUUUGUACACUCUUAACUAUUAACAACAGUCCCUAAAUUUAUACCAAACCAUUUAAGAAACCUAUUUGUUCCCCCUCAGUCAAAGUUCAAGGUAAGUUUUCAAGCCUUUGGCAUUGUGUAUGAUCUUGUGUAUGAUAGUAUCAUAUUGUUUACUAUCGUAUUGAAUCGUAUCGUAACAUAUUGUAUCAUAAUAUAUCGUAUCGUAAAAUAUCGUAUCAUGAUAUUUCCUGUAAUAACAUAUUGUAUCCUAACAUUGUAUCAUAUCAAAUUGUGUUGUAACACAAUGCAACGCAAUGCAAUGCAAUGCAAUGCAUCAUAUUGUGUUGUAUUGUAUUGUAACAUAUCGUAUCAUAUGGAAUCGUAACAUAUCAUAUCAUAUUGUAACAUAGCAUAUCGUAUUGUAUCGUAUCGUAACAUAUCAUAUCGCAUCACAUAUCAUAUCAUAACGUG